GGAGGAGUGGCCGAGCGGCUGAAGGCGACGGUCUUGAAAACCGUUAGGCGCGAAAGCGUCUCGGGGGUUCGAAUCCCUCCUCCUCCG
rnacentral:tRNA from 1 species